GACGGAGGAUGCAAGCGUUAUCCGGAAUGAUUGGGCGUAAAGCGUCCGCAGGUGGCAGUUCAAGUCUGCUGUCAAAGACCGGGGCUUAACUUCGGAAAGGCAGUGGAAACUGAACAGCUAGAGUAUGGUAGGGGCAGAGGGAAUUCCUGGUGUAGCGGUGAAAUGCGUAGAUAUCGGGAGGAACACCAGUGGCGAAGGCGGUUGCCUGGGGCUUUGCUGACGCUGAUGCGCGAAAGCGUGGGGAGCGAUCCGG
rnacentral:rRNA from 1 species